rnacentral:tRNA from 1 species
GUGGGUAUAGCUCAGUGGUAGAGUGCAUGCUUAGCAUACACCAGGUCCUGUGUUCAAUCCCCAGUACCUCCA